AUCAAGGAACGAUAAAACGAUCCCAAGUGACGAAUUAAGCGCGAGGAUUGCUCGUUUCGCUCGAAGGUGCUAAGGGCUUAGGAGUGCUUACGCAUCGAAAACGUUAUAGGUAAUCCCCAGACUUGAUGGAUUAGUGCAGCGGAGGACUCGACGGUGGCCACAUGUAUUUUUAAACCGAUUAAUUUCAGUUAUGGUAUUUAUUUCUUAAUUAUUUUCUGGGAUAUUUUUAUGUAAAUUAGACUUUUAGACUGUUUGUUUUUAUUUCGAACUUUUAAGCUACAAACUCAACAUAAACCUGAUUUUAU